rnacentral:rRNA from 1 species
AUUGAUACAUAUUGUUUCGCAUCCGGAUAAUGGAUAAAUGUUGAUAAGUCUUAGGUAUAAUUUAGUAAGGGAUGCCCAGAGGUGACCCAUAUGGCUAUCAAGAAUAUUUUGCAAAUCCAGGUUGAGACCCUCAAUGACAAGUACUUGGGAUUACCCUAUGAUAUUGGGAGGAUGAAGAACGGGGUCUUUGGUUAUCUGAAGGACCGGAUUUGGAAACAUAUCCAAGGUUGGCUUGAAAAACUUCUUGCGGGCAGCGAAAAGGAAGUUCUAAUAAAAUCUAUAAUUCAAGCCAUUCCCACAUAUUCCAUGGCAGUGUUUAAGUUACCACGAGGACUUUGCCAACAUCUUACUUCCAUGAUCCGGAAGUUUUGGUGGCGGAGUAAGAAUGGUGAGAGAAAGAUAGCAUGGGUAGCUUGGGAUGAUAGGAUGAUGCCAAAGUAUAAAGGUGGGUUGGGUUUUAGAGAUCUAGAGAUUUUUAAUUUGGUUCUCUUGGCGAAACAAGCUUGGAGAAUCUUGUAG